AUUUAAAAGUGCAUGGCAACUCCUCCCUCUCUCUCUUCCUCUUAUUUCAGCCAUGUGAAGUGCUGUCUUCCCUUUGCCUUCCACCAUGAUUGUAAGUUUCCUGAGACCUCCCCAGAAGCCAAGCAGAUGCCAGCAUCACACUUCCUGUAUAGCCAGUGGAACUAUGAGGAAAUGGAGGCACAGAAAGACAAAGUAAUUUGUCCAAAGUCACACAUAUGGUAAAUUGCUGACUUGGAAUUCCAAACCAGGUGACCUGAAUUCUAUAUUCUUUUUCUUAGCAUAUAAUAUUCUCUCAAAUAGACUGUAUCAUAAACACAAAGUGAACAUGAACAUUUAAAAUAUGUACUUAAAAAUAUGUGGUAGUAUUCUGUUGAAAGUACUCCAUGAUCAGAGAAAUCAUCUAGAAUAUGUCAUAUUGCUGUUACUUAAGAAUGCUAUGGAAAUAAACAUUGUUUCUAAUUUCCACAUAGAACUCAUGGAUUUCUGAGAACAUAUCCAUAGGAGUUUGCAGAACCCAGUGUAAAAAAAAAAAAAAAGAAAAAGUAAAAAGAAAGAAAACCACUGAAACAAAUUGUC
rnacentral:lncRNA from 1 species